AACAGCAUGAGCAUUGACCCACGCAAUUGGGAUACGAUGAAAUAUGUCAACCUAGUCAGCGAGCCUGACCACCCGAUCCUGAUUCUAACCUGGAUCUUCACAGCUAAGGAGGAGUCGGUAAGACGAGAAGAACAUAGCCUUGGACUAAGCAUAAAUACAACCGGUGUAAUCGGAAGGAGGGUCUGCUAGCGGGUACCGCUCCAUUUGUUUCUGGCCCGGAUUUAGGACGCAUGGGUCAGUUACUUCAUAUUGCGUCAUGUACAAACUACAUCUAACAACGAAGUAGUUCACUCACGACACAACAGGUCACGAUGACUUUAUAUCAGUGCACCAGAAUGUAAGUCAAUCGUACAGUACCGAUCAAACGCAAGUGCCUCUUGUCGGGGACUGUAUCCGCGACUUGUUACCAUGUACAACUUGUGGAAGGGGCAGAUUUUAAAACCAGUUCGUCUUAAAACACAGACAUGGUAUUUUAUGCCACACCAGCAAUGUGUAAAGCUAAUACACGGUAACAAUGCCUUAUGCAGAGGAAUGUAUUUUUUGUUGCAACCAGACAGGAAUGUUUUCAAAUUCCCCGAUACUUACGAACAAGUGCACAGUUUGAAACAUUUCAAAGUAAGGACGGUUCGUGGCGGAGCUCAAAGGCGACCAGAGCUGACUGGGUAUUCUGAGGACAUUUAUGACCAAGCUAAAUCAGCGAUGUAUACGCGAAGUGAACGAAUGCACAGAAUACAAACAGAACUCACCCAGAAAGCCGUUGAGCUAUUGGAGUACACGAAACCUCUCUCAACGAAUCCACGCGUCCUUGACAUUGGUAGUGGAUCCGGAAUUAGCUCUGCCAUCUUGAAAAGCGUUGGAUAUUUUGUGGUCGGGACAGACAGUAAUACGUUUAUGUUAAGUAUUUGUAAAGAUAAACUGAAUAGUCAGGAUUGUGUGAAACUAAAUAUUUUCUAUCAUUUACCUUUUCGAGCUAGUUGUGUUGGCACAGUUGUGAGUAUUUCAGCCUUACAGUGGAUCUACACUCUGCCUGACUGUCACAGAUACAUUGGGAUGCUGUUUUCAUCUCUGCACGACUGUCUUGAUGAAGAUGGACGAGCUGUUCUGCAGUUCUACCCCCGAAUGUUGUCAGACGUAGAAAAUACUUUGGAUAUUGCAAAGAAAUACUUUUCAAGUGGUGCUUUGGUUUGUGAUUUUCCUCAUUCUCACAGAGGGAAGAAAUUAUAUUUGCUUUUGUCCAAAUAAAGUACAUGUAAAUAUUUG